rnacentral:rRNA from 1 species
UUGGAGGGCAAGUCUGGUGCCAGCNGCCGCGGUAAUUCCAGCUCCAAUAGCGUAUAUUAAAGUUGUUGCAGUUAAAAAGCUCGUAGUUGAAUUUCGGGAUUGGCGCAUCGGUCGUGCCUCACGGGGUAUGAACUGGUGCAGUCAAUUUCUCACCUUCUGGAGAACCGCGAUGUCCUUAAUUGGAUGCCGCGGGGAACCCAGGACCUUUACUUUGAAAAAAUUAGAGUGUUUAAAGCAGGCAUUUUUGCUUGAAUACAUUAGCAUGGAAUAAUAAAAUAGGACGGCAUGGUUCUAUUUUGUUGGUUUCUAGGACCACCGUAAUGAUUAAUAGGGAUAGUUGGGGGCAUUAGUAUUCAAUUGUCAGAGGUGAAAUUCUUGGAUUUAUUGAAGACUAACUACUGCGAAAGCAUUUGCCAAGGAUGUUUUCAUUAAUCAAGAACGAAAGUUAGGGGAUCGAAGACGAUCAGAUACCGUCGUAGUCUUAACCAUAAACUAUGCCGACUAGGAAUCAGACGAUGUUAAUUUUUUAAUGACUCGUUUGGCACCUUACGGGAAACCAAAGUGUUUGGGUUC